UACGUAGGGUGCGAGCGUUAAUCGGAAUUACUGGGCGUAAAGCGUGCGCAGGCGGUGAUGUAAGACAGGUGUGAAAGCCCCGAGCUUAACUUGGGAAUUGCGCUUGUGACUGGCGUGCUGGAGUGUGGCAGAGGGAGGUGGAAUUCCACGUGUAGCAGUGAAAUGCGUAGAGAUGUGGAGGAACACCGAUGGCGAAGGCAGCCUCCUGGGCCAGCACUGACGCUCAUGCACGAAAGCGUGGGGAGCAAACAGG
rnacentral:rRNA from 1 species